AACGAACGCUGGCGGCAUGCCUAACACAUGCAAGUCGAACGAGACCGUCGGGUCUAGUGGCGCACGGGUGCGUAACGCGUGGGAACCUGCCCUUAGGUUCGGAAUAACUCCCCGAAAGGGGUGCUAAUACCGGAUAAUGUCUUCGGACCAAAGAUUUAUCGCCGUUGGAUGGGCCCGCGUUGGAUUAGCUAGUUGGUAGGGUAAUAGCCUACCAAGGCGACGUUCCAUAGCUGGUCGGGGAGGAUGACCAGCCGCACUGGGACUGAGACACGGCCCAGACUCCUACGGGGGGCAGCAGUGGGGAAUAUUGGACGAUGGGCGCAAGUCUGAUCCAGCAAUGCCGCGUGAGUGAUGAAGGCCUUAGGGUUGUAAAGCUCUUUUACCCGGGAUGAUAAUGACAGUACCGGGAGAAUAAGCUCCGGCUAACUCCGUG
rnacentral:rRNA from 1 species